UAAGACUGAAUUGGGAUGGCAUACUGUGCACAUUAAAGAUCCCAAUAAUAGUUUCAUGCAUAUCUUUCCAACAGCUGGAGCCUUUGAAGUAUGAUUUACUGCUCUUGUAAUGUCAACUAGAUAUUUUUUCAUUUUUUAUUUUAAAACCAUCGCUAUCAGACUGAGAUCUUAUAUGCCAAACUUUAAUCUGCUCUUAUGUUUUAAGGCUGAAAGUAUGAAAAUCCUGAUUUCAUAUUGAAUAUAUGUACACAAUCUUAACAGUAGUGGUGGUAAACAUGCUACUAUAAUUUAUUAUUCUAUCUUCCAGAUAAUGUUAUUCAUUUAGAACAAAUAAGGUAUAUUUUUAGAAUCAACUUUGUAAGCACUAUAAAUCUUUAAUAAGUUAUAAGGCCUAUGAUGUGUUUACUUUGGAAAUUGCUGUUUAAAGCAAGAUGUAUU
rnacentral:lncRNA from 1 species